UACGUAGGGGGCAAGCGUUGUCCGGAAUCAUUGGGCGUAAAGAGCGUGUAGGCGGUCCGAUAAGUCGGUUGUGAAAGUCAAGGGCUCAACCCUUGAAUGCCGACCGAUACUGUCGGGCUAGAGUCCGGAAGAGGCGAGUGGAAUUCCUGGUGUAGCGGUGAAAUGCGCAGAUAUCAGGAGGAACACCAAUGGCGAAGGCAGCUCGCUGGGACGGUACUGACGCUGAGACGCGAAAGCGUGGGGAGCAAACAGG
rnacentral:rRNA from 2 species